rnacentral:rRNA from 1 species
AUUGAACGCUGGCGGAAUGCUUUACACAUGCAAGUCGAGCGGCAGCGCGGGGGCAACCCUGCGGCGAGCGGCGAACGGGUGAGUAAUACAUCGGAACGUGUCCUUAAGUGGGGGAUAGCUCGGCGAAAGCCGGAUUAAUACCGCAUAAGCUCUGAGGAGGAAAGCGGGGGCUCCGUAAGGACCUCGCGCUGUUGGAGCGGCCGAUGUCGGAUUAGCUAGUUGGUGGGGAAAGGCCCACCAAGGCGACGAUCCGUAGCUGGUCUGAGAGGAUGAUCAGCCACACUGGAACUGAGACACGGUCCAGACUCCUACGGGAGGCAGCAGUGGGGAAUUUGGACAAUGGGGGCAACCCUGAUCCAGCCAUUCCGCGUGAGUGAAGAAGGCCUGG